UAGGUCAAGACAGUCACCACAACCCGAGCUGCCAUUUUCAUUUUCUGCCAUGGAUAUCUGACAGUCCUUCACAUUCAAGAAAAGAUUAAAAGAAAAACUUUGUUUCCAACCAUUUUUAUUGUGCAGGAGUAUUAUCUGACAACACAAGUUUUUUUGAAAUAGAACUACAUGACACAUAUUAAGAAAUUUAUGAAGGAAAAACUACAAGAAAAUAUACUAGAAGUUUUCAGUAUUCUCAUCCCAAUAGAUGACAAAAGGUCUGGGACAAGAUGACACAUGGCAAUUCUGUCUCUGUGAUCUGACCAUCAGGAAAAGAACUCUUAAUAAUCCAGGCUAACCUUUGCUGCAGUCAAAUAUACCCAAUUUCCUCCUUCAGUGGUAUAUCAGACAUCAGCUUUCU